rnacentral:hammerhead_ribozyme from 14 species
AUCCAGCCGAUGAGUUCCAAACAGGACUAAACGCGCUUCUUGGAU